rnacentral:rRNA from 1 species
GAACCGUGCGAACGUUGUUCGGAAUCACUGGGCUUAAAGGGCGCGUAGGCGGGCUGGCAAGUCCAGGGUGAAAUCGUUCGGCUUAACCGGACCAGUGCCCUGGAUACUGCCAGUCUCGAGGGAGGUAGGGGUCUGCGGAACUUCCGGUGGAGCGGUGAAAUGCGUAGAUAUCGGAAGGAACGCCGGUGGCGAAAGCGGCGGACUGGACCUCUUCUGACGCUGAGGCGCGAAAGCCAGGGGAGCAAACGGGAUUAGAUACCCCGGUAGUCCUGGCCCUAAACGUUGGGUACUAGGUUGUGGACUUGACAUGGGUUCACAGCCGAAGCAAAAGUGGUAAGUACCCCGCCUGGGGAGUAUGGUCGCAAGGCUGAA